UAGGGGAGAGUGGGGCACGUUGAACAUAGGGGCACAUUGAACCAUUGGAUUUUUCAGGAAUAGUUUGUCUCCCAAUCAGCAGAUGUCUCUUGUGUACAACGCUCUUCAGAAGCUCCACUCAAGCACCAGUUGAGUGGCAGCCUUCAUUGAGGGAGGACGUGCUGGUUGGUUUUUUUUUUAAUAUUUGACCUACUUUGUUCAUCUGUUGAGGAAAUGGUGCGAAAGUAUCUUGCAAAAACUGAUCGAGGAAGAGCCGAUGGGAACUUAAUGGAGAGAGCUGUUGACGAAGUUGUCAAAGGAAAGUCCAUCAGGGAAGUUAGUCGUUUGCUGGAUGUAAACCGGAUUACAUUGUCAAGAUAUGUUAAGAAAUUCCAAGCAGGGCAAGCUGAAAAAACAAAAGACUAUGCUCCUAACUACAAUACCAGACAGGUAUUUACUGAAGAAGAAGAAGACGGACUUUCUGAAUAUAUCGUAACUUGCUCCCAGUUGUUUCAUGGCCUUGGCUUGACAGCAGUAAGACGACUUGCAUUUGAAUAUGCAAUGAAGAAAGAUAAAACUUGCCCAGAUUCUUGGAAACAUAACUGUAUGGCAGGAAAGGACUGGAUGGCUGGAUUUAUGAAACGUCAUUGCAAGAUCUCCCUUCGUUUACCAGAGUCAACCAGUGUGGCAAGAGUGCGUUUAUUUUACAUGUUUACCUUCUACAUUAAGCAUGCCAUGUACGAUUAUAAUAAAAAGGAACUUUAUAUUUUGUAUACAUCAAAAGAGGGAGAAAAUAUGUGUAUUCUGAAUGAAUUAUUAAAAUAUUUUUAUUUCUAGACUUUGUUUUUUAUUUUGCCUUCAUUAUUAAAGUUUAAAGACAUGGUUCAAUCUACCCCAUAGCAUGGUUCAAUGUACCCCGCCUAUGGGGCAGUUUGAACCAUUUUAGAAAAAAAAAAUAAUCUGCCAAAUUUUCCACUAUGAAAACAAGAUAUAUCAAUCAUUCCUAUUGUCAACUUUGGGUAGAAGGAUGAAGAUGAAUAUCGCAUGGGAGAAACAUAAGUUUAGCCGAAAGAUAUUUGCCUAUGACCAGAUAUGUCCAAAACCUGUUCAACGUGCCCCACUCUC